CCUACGGGAGGCAGCAGUGGGGAAUAUUGCACAAUGGGGGAAACCCUGAUGCAGCGACGCCGCGUGAGUGAAGACGUAAUUCGUUAUGUACAGCUCUAUCAGCAGGGAAGCAAAUGACGGUACCUGAGGAAGAAGCCCCGGCUAACUACGGGCCAGCAGCCGAGGUAAUACGUAGGGGGCAAGCGUUAUCCGGAUUCACUGGGUGUAAAGGGCGCGUAGACGGCAGUGCAGGUCUGGAGUGAAAGGCGGGGGGUCAACCCCCGGACUGCUCUUGAAACUGUACGGAUGGAGUGCAGGAGAGGUAAGUGGAAUUCCUAGUGUAGCGGUGAAAUGCGUAGAUAUUAGGAGGAACACCAGUGGCGAAGGCGGCUUACGGGACUGUAACUGACGUUGAGGCUCGAAAGCGUGGGGAGCAAACAGGAUUAGAUACCCCAGUAGUC
rnacentral:rRNA from 1 species